UGGGAGGUAUAAGAAGGUGAAACUACUAAAGCGCUUAGUUUUCAUCGAUACCCACCUCCUAAAGCAAACAGGGUAGUGUGAACCACUCGACCUCCAGAGAUAGGUCUUGAGUGCUCUGCACCUACCCACAAUC
ensembl:scaRNA